GGCUCUGGGGUGUUACACGUGUGGUUGCAAACCUCAAGAAGCAGAUUGAAAUCUGCCGGGGCUU
rnacentral:tRNA from 1 species